AGUAAUCCCGCUGAGGCCCGAACCAGAGGCGGGCGGGGACAUCCGCGCCGACGCGGCCGCGGGCGCUGGGACGGCCCUCACUGGCGGUCUUCGGUCUCCGCCCCGACAUCCGGCUCCGGCCACGUGGUGGGCGGACCGGGGCGGUCCUGAGCCUGCGACCUCCCAGGCGACCUCGCUGGACCCUAAGUCCAGGCCACAGUCAGGAAAGGGCGCUGAGAGGUGAGCGUGAGCCCAGCGACAGGAGAGUGAGCUCACCAUGUGCAGCGCCAUGACCAGCAAGGGUCCCGAGGAGGAGCACCCAUCGGUGACGCUCUUCCGCCAGUACCUGCGCAUCCGCACCGUCCAGCCCAAGCCUGACUACGGUGAGAAGACGGUGGUUCCAGAGCCUGUGACGGGGCCUAAGGGACGGGGACUGUGCUCUAAACCAGCCUCCAACCCCUGUCACCCAGCUGAGCCCCACUCUGCUGUACCAAAUGGCUCCCCAACCCCUCCAGCCAUUCCCCAAGUAAACAGACUGAGGCAGCCCCUCCAGGUUAAGGAGGAACCCUUUCCCCAGAGGCUCUGCUGCUGACCAAGGUUACUCCUGGCAGCUGGUUAAAGAAAAACUUCACCUCACUCUCCAGGGCAGGAGUGGUGGGGGAAGCCUGAGGCAGCCACAGGGAAAGGAGAGGCCCUCCAGAAGUCCACUGGGGCUGGACAAAGGCCACAGCCCUUAGGGAAUCAAGCUUGGUGGCUAGGGCCUUUGAGGUGGCUCCUGCCUGUUAUCCCAGCACUUCAGGAG
rnacentral:sRNA from 1 species